ACGUAGGGGGCAAGCGUUAUCCGGAUUUACUGGGUGUAAAGGGAGCGUAGACGGCGAUGCAAGUCUGAAGUGAAAGGCGGGGGCCCAACCCCCGGACUGCUUUGGAAACUGUAUGGCUGGAGUGCAGGAGAGGUAAGUGGAAUUCCUAGUGUAGCGGUGAAAUGCGUAGAUAUUAGGAGGAACACCAGUGGCGAAGGCGACUUACUGGACUGUAACUGACGUUGAGGCUCGAAAGCGUGGGGAGCAA
rnacentral:rRNA from 1 species